CACGCGCUGUUCAGUGUGAGCGCGAUGUAGGUCGUGCACGCACACACACACGCACAUACACACACACAUGCACACACAUACACACACACGCAU
rnacentral:miRNA from 1 species